AACCAUAGAAACCUGCGGAGUACCUGCGGAGGGAUCAUUAUAGUAUAUGGAAUCUCCAUUCUAUAAACCCACUCUGCGUAUCUUGUAACUGUUGCUUCCAUGGGACUUGGUUCCACCACACCGGCUUCACGGCUGGUGAGCGCCCAUGGAAGGAGAAACAAAACUCUUCUUUGAAAUGUAGUCAGUCUGAACAAGUUUUUAUAAACGUUAAAACUUUUAGCAAUGGAUCUCAGAUCGGAA
rnacentral:misc_RNA from 1 species